GGUGAACGCUGGCGGCGUGCUUAAGACAUGCAAGUCGAACGGCAGUCUUCGGACUGUAGUGGCGCACGGGUGAGUAACGCGUAACUGACCUACCCCAAAGUCGCGGAUAACGAUUCGAAAGAAUCGCUAAUACGUGAUGUGCUGUCAGAUUGUGUUCUGCCAGUAAAGAUUGAUUGCUUUGGGAUGGGGUUGCGUUCCAUUAGCUAGUUGGUGGGGUAAAGGCCCACCAAGGCGACGACGGAUAGCCGGCCUGAGAGGGUGGCCGGCCACAGGGGCACUGAGACACGGGUCCCACUCCUACGGGAGGCAGCAGUUAGGAAUCUUCCACAAUGGUCGAAAGCCUGAUGGAGCGACGCCGCGUGAGGGAUGAAGGUCUUCGGAUCGUAAACCUCUGAAUCAGGGACGAAAGACACUUCGGUGGGAUGACGGUACCUGAGUAAUAGCACCGGCUAACUCCGUGCCAGCCGCCGCCGUAAAAC
rnacentral:rRNA from 1 species